UGCCGGAUCGUCUAGUGGUAGGACGCUUGACUCUGGAUCAGGUAACCUAGGUUCGAAUCCUAGUCCGGCAG
rnacentral:tRNA from 1 species